rnacentral:rRNA from 1 species
UUGCCAGCCCGCUCAGACACUUAAGGAAUUGACGGGGCCGCACAAGCGGUGGAGCAUGUGGUUAAUUCGAAGCAACGCGAAGAACCUUACCUGGGUUUGAACUGCAGUGGAAGACGCCAGAGAUGGCGUCGCCCCUUCGGGGCCGCUGUGGAGGUGCUGCAUGGCUGUCGUCAGCUCGUGUCGUGAGAUGUUGGGUUAAGUCCCGCAACGAGCGCAACCCUUGCUCAUAGUUGCCAGCGGUUCGGCCGGGCACUCUAUGGGGACUGCCGGUGAUAAACCGGAGGAAGGUGGGGAUGACGUCAAGUCCUCAUGGCCCUUAUGUCCAGGGCUACACACGUGCUACAAUGGGCGGUACAGAGGGUUGCCAACCCGCGAGGGGGAGCCAAUCCCAGAAAGCCGUCCUCAGUUCAGAUUGGAGUCUGCAACUCGACUCCAUGAAGGUGGAAUCGCUAGUAAUCGCGGAUCAGCACGCCGCGGUGAAUACGUUCCCGGGCCUU